rnacentral:rRNA from 1 species
GAUUAAGUUAUUAAGGGCGCACGGUGGAUGCCUUGGCACUAGAAGCCGAUGAAGGACGUUACUAACGACGAUAUGCUUUGGGGAGCUGUAAGUAAGCUUUGAUCCAGAGAUUUCCGAAUGGGGAAACCCAGCAUGAGUUAUGUCAUGUUAUCGAUAUGUGAAUACAUAGCAUAUCAGAAGGCACACCCGGAGAACUGAAACAUCUUAGUACCCGGAGGAAGAGAAAGAAAAUUCGAUUCCCUUAGUAGCGGCGAGCGAAACGGGAAGAGCCCAAACCAACAAGCUUGCUUGUUGGGGUUGUAGGACACUCUAUACGGAGUUACAAAGGACGACAUUAGACGAAUCAUCUGGAAAGAUGAAUCAAAGAAGGUAAUAAUCCUGUAGUCGAAAAUGUUGUCUCUCUUGAGUGGAUCCUGAGUACGACGGAGCACGUGAAAUUCCGUCGGAAUCUGGGAGGACCAUCUCCUAAGGCUAAAUACUCUCUAGUGACCGAUAGUGAACCAGUACCGUGAGGGAAAGGUGAAAAGCACCCCGGAAGGGGAGUGAAAUAGAACCUGAAACCGUGUGCUUACAAGUAGUCAGAGCCCGUUAAUGGGUGAUGGCGUGCCUUUUGUAGAAUGAACCGGCGAGUUACGAUUUGAUGCAAGGUUAAGCAGUAAAUGUGGAGCCGUAGCGAAAGCGAGUCUGAAUAGGGCGUUUAGUAUUUGGUCGUAGACCCGAAACCAGGUGAUCUACCCUUGGUCAGGUUGAAGUUCAGGUAACACUGAAUGGAGGACCGAACCGACUUACGUUGAAAAGUGAGCGGAUGAACUGAGGGUAGCGGAGAAAUUCCAAUCGAACCUGGAGAUAGCUGGUUCUCUCCGAAAUAGCUUUAGGGCUAGCCUCAAGUGAUGAUUAUUGGAGGUAGAGCACUGUUUGGACGAGGGGCCCCUCUCGGGUUACCGAAUUCAGACAAACUCCGAAUGCCAAUUAAUUUAACUUGGGAGUCAGAACAUGGGUGAUAAGGUCCGUGUUCGAAAGGGAAACAGCCCAGACCACCAGCUAAGGUCCCAAAAUAUAUGUUAAGUGGAAAAGGAUGUGGCGUUGCCCAGACAACUAGGAUGUUGGCUUAGAAGCAGCCAUCAUUUAAAGAGUGCGUAAUAGCUCACUAGUCGAGUGACACUGCGCCGAAAAUGUACCGGGGCUAAACAUAUUACCGAAGCUGUGGAUUGUCCUUUGGACAAUGGUAGGAGAGCGUUCUAAGGGCGUUGAAGCAUGAUCGUAAGGACAUGUGGAGCGCUUAGAAGUGAGAAUGCCGGUGUGAGUAGCGAAAGACGGGUGAGAAUCCCGUCCACCGAUUGACUAAGGUUUCCAGAGGAAGGCUCGUCCGCUCUGGGUUAGUCGGGUCCUAAGCUGAGGCCGACAGGCGUAGGCGAUGGAUAACAGGUUGAUAUUCCUGUACCACCUAUAAUCGUUUUAAUCGAUGGGGGGACGCAGUAGGAUAGGCGAAGCGUGCGAUUGGAUUGCACGUCUAAGCAGUAAGGCUGAGUAUUAGGCAAAUCCGGUACUCGUUAAGGCUGAGCUGUGAUGGGGAGAAGACAUUGUGUCUUCGAGUCGUUGAUUUCACACUGCCGAGAAAAGCCUCUAGAUAGAAAAUAGGUGCCCGUACCGCAAACCGACACAGGUAGUCAAGAUGAGAAUUCUAAGGUGAGCGAGCGAACUCUCGUUAAGGAACUCGGCAAAAUGACCCCGUAACUUCGGGAGA